AAGCUUCCUUGUUUGUGGUUUCCUCUGCCUGGAAUGCUGUUAACCAAAAUACUCUCCCUCACUUGAUUCAGGUAAAAUGCAAUCUCUGAAGCAAAAACAGCCCAUAAUUAUAGGCCAAACAUUGGAAUCAGUGACUUGUUCCCCUAGACUUGGCAAAGGCCCAGAUGACUCUUCAAGACACAGUGGCACAGUGGAAUCCUCUUGCUGCACAACAGCUUGCUUAGAACUGUGAAACCUAAUCCCUCAAGAAGAUUUCCUUCCUGCUCCCACGUUUCUCCCGACUGGAGAUCGCCCCAAACGUCACUGGAAUCCUGAACUGCAGCUACAGCUACAUUGAAGUAUCUGA